UUAUGGCUCAGGAUGAACGCUAGCGGCAGGCUUAAUACAUGCAAGUCGUGGGGCAGCAGGUCUGUAGCAAUACAGAUGCUGGCGACCGGCAAACGGGUGCGGAACACGUACACAACCUUCCUUUAAGUGGGGAAUAGCCCAGAGAAAUUUGGAUUAAUACCCCGUAACAUUUUGAAGUGGCAUCACUUUAUAAUUAUAGCUACGGCGCUUAAUGAUGGGUGUGCGUCUGAUUAGGUAGUUGGCGGAGUAAUAGCCCACCAAGCCUACGAUCAGUAACUGGUGUGAGAGCACGACCAGUCACACGGGCACUGAGACACGGGCCCGACUCCUACGGGAGGCAGCAGUAAGGAAUAUUGGGCAAUGGACGCAAGUCUGACCCAGCCAUGCCGCGUGGAGGAUGAAGGUCCUCUGGAUUGUAAACUUCUUUUAUCUGGGAAGAAACCCAUCUUUUCUUGGGUGGUUGACGGUACCAGAUGAAUAAGCACCGGCUAACUCCGUGCCAGCAGCCGCGGUAAUACGGAGGGUGCAAGCGUUAUCCGGAUUCACUGGGUUUAAAGGGUGCGUAGGUGGGCAGGUAAGUCAGUGGUGAAAUCCUGUAGCUUAACUACAGAACUGCCAUUGAUACUAUUUGUCUUGAAUACCCUGGAGGUGAGCGGAAUAUGUCAUGUAGCGGUGAAAUGCUUAGAUAUGACAUAGAACAUCUAUUGCGAAGGCAGCUCACUACGGGAAUAUUGACGCUGAGGCACGAAAGCGUGGGGAUCAAACAGGAUUAGAUACCCUGGUAGUCCACGCCCUAAACGAUGAUCACUCGACAUCAGCGAUACACUGUUGGUGUCUGAGCAAAAGCAUUAAGUGAUCCACCUGGGAAGUACGAUCG
rnacentral:rRNA from 1 species